UACAGAGACCUCAAGCGUUAUCCGGAUUUAUUGGGCGUAAAGGGUCCGCAGGUGGCCGAACACGUCACGGGUCAAAUUUCAGGGCUCAACCCUGAAACCGCUCGUGAUACGGUUCGGCUCGAGCAUGGGAGAGGCAAGCGGAAUUACCGGUGUAGUAGUAAAAUGCGUUAAUAUCGGUAAGAACACCAAAUGCGAAGGCAGCUUGCUGGAACAUUGCUGACACUCAGGGACGAAAGCGUGGGGAGCGAAAGGG
rnacentral:misc_RNA from 1 species